UACGGAGGGUGCGAGCGUUGUCCGGAAUCACUGGGCGUAAAGGGCGCGUAGGCGGCUCAUGAAGGCUGUGGUGAAAGUCCGGGGCUCAACCUCGGAUCGGCCGUGGCGACUCGUGGGCUGGAGCACUGUAGAGGCGGGUGGAAUUCCUGGUGUAGCGGUGGAAUGCGCAGAUAUCAGGAGGAACACCAAUAGCGAAGGCAGCGCGCUGGGACGUUACUGACACUGAGGCGCGAAAGCGUGGGGAGCGAACAGG
rnacentral:rRNA from 1 species